rnacentral:lncRNA from 1 species
UUCCCCUAUGCCAUAAUCCACUAAAUAGUCUUGGGUGGUAGAUGCCACCUCAAUGUACCCACGAUUAUUCCGUCCAAUAGCAUAUAGUAUGUACAAAGAAUCCACCCCACGAGAAGUAGAAUGUAUCCAAACAACAUCUGGGCAGGUGGUAGGAUUGCCGACCUACUUCAUCAAAACUUUUCCUCUUGACUCCAUGCCCCAUCUGUGACUAUGAGUACUGAAGAGAUGAACUAGAAUGGCAUGAAGCACAGGUACUUCUUCCGCAGCUUCUUGAAUGCUCCAUCAGUCUUCCUCCUUCCGCCAGGACCAGGAGAAGGUGCUCGGCCGCUGUUCAACCCGUCGCUACUCUGAGAACUCGAUGUUGGAAAUUACUUCCUCUUGAGCUUUUUCAACCUUCCAUCUGUCUUGUUUCUUCCAUCAGCAGAUGGUGUCUGGCUACUGUCCGACAGUUGGCGACUCUGAGAAGCUAAAGUCAAUGGUGGACUGCCAUCCCUAUUGACUGGUUUGCCAUCUCUGGCAUUCUGUGAAGAUCUCUCUUCGAUAGGCAAUCCUGUAAGUUAGCACCAGCUAUUCAGGACCCUUCACUAAUGUGAUCUGAAUGAAAUCUUGUACUGAUUUGGCAAGUUUAGGAUGAACAAAACAAGGCUUAGAAGGGGGAAAUGAGGUAGAUCUUUUGAUCAAAUUAAUUUACUUGUCAUUAGCAGUCUAAAUGCAUCGAAAUUACAAAAUCAUGCAUAUAGGGAUUCUAACGUCAUAGGACCUUAAACUACACAAUCACUGAACUUUCUUGAUCAGACGGGCAAAUUCCACUGCAAUGACUAGAACCUAGGCAAUACUAGUGUCAGUUAAGCUGGUCAAUGAUAUUAAUUACCAAUUAGGCUACAUUCUUAGCUAUAGCUAAUCAAUCACAUAUGUUCAACAUGAACUAAAAAAAAUGUGUUCUCCUUUCUCAUAUGAUGCAGACAUAAAAUGUGCAAGGCCUUGGAGGUGAUUGUCACCAUAAAAACGAGCAACAUCAUGGAUCAGAUGAGAUAGAACCAGCAGUAGCUCCUCUCUAUUGAAAACCAGAUGCAAGGAGGCCAAAGAAGAUACCUGAAAUCGCUGCUUGGACAACAAUGCCAUCUGGUUUUCAAGAAUCAGAGACAUUAAGGUUGCAACCGGCAUCCCUAUGCUCUACAUGAUCUCCACUUUCAGCUUCUGAGUCCAGAAUUGCGACCAGAUAAUCAAAGAUUUCAUCUGACGACAUGGUCAUGCAGCUUGAAUUAUCUGACCGGGAAGAUGACGAUUGUGGAAUGUCAAGGUCCAGCAAUUCUAAGUAGUCACCAGAAUCAAUAUGAUCCAGCUCAGGCAGACUUUCAAUGGGAUGGCUAGGAGAGAAACUGGAUGCACGUCGCAUAAUAUUGCGGGAAGUGGUGUUAACCUACAACAGAUAAAAGUGUUGAUGAGCCAGGAGAUAGCAACAUUCGGGAGGCAACAGCAGUGACUAGCGUCCAUGUAACCAGGCAUGAGGAUGCAGAUUAUUACAAGAAGCAAGAAAUCCACAUUUCAGAGUCCAGACAUCCAAUCCCGAGAAAGUUAUGGAAAAGAUCAUUUACAAGCAUAUUUCAAUAGUGAAGACCAUUCUUUCACUAUAAUAUGAGCCAUCUGAUACAAGGCACAUAAUGGUAGUUACUGAUAAUCUCAACCACAACUUUCAUGAGAUCACUUGGCAAUUGAAACGUGACUAUCGUUAUCUCAGAACUUCUCUGUUCUUCCCAGAUUGAUGCCAUAAGUUUACAUUUUCUGAUCAAUUGAACUAAUUUUCAGUUAGUGAACAUAAUGCGCUUAUUUUGAUGCUUCAGCAUCUUGAAAAUUCACAACCGUAAGUCAUUCUAAGCAGUAAAUUUAUAUAUUUUCCAAUAACUAGACGUUGCUAACCAGUCUAAUUUUAUUCAAGAAUUUAGGAAGAACCGAGCAACCACAUAGAAGUCCGUAAGGCACACCUGCAUUUGGUUUGUUACGCAUUGCUUGGUAGGUAUGUUGAAAUUAUCUGGAGGCAGGAAGUAAAGGUAGUUUUCUCUACGGAACUCAGUACCCGCAGCAUUUUGCAGCAUUUUACUGUCAGAUAGUGGCGAGCUGCUACUGCGGAAGACUUUGCAUAGCGAUUUGGCGUCCUGCACAAAAUCCAACACAAACUAGUUGUUGACUGGCAGUAUGAUUAUGGUGGGUGGAGAAAAAUGCAUCAGUGNNNNNNNNNNNNNNNNNNNNNNNNNNNNNNNNNNNNNNNNNNNNNNNNNNNNNNNNNNNNNNNNNNNNNNNNNNNNNNNNNNNNNNNNNNNNNNNNNNNNAUACCUUUGCCGAAGAGCUUCUCCUGACACCUUCGAAGUCAUAUAGUACUCCAGCAUCGACCAGUCAGUUUUUUCAACUUGCGGGCCUCGUCCUUCAUAGAAUUCAUGAGUUUCUUCCCAACCAUUGAUGAAAGCAUCACCAAAUAUCUCACGGGGUUCUCCUCUAGGCAUCCAGAAUCCGCCUUCUGCCCCCUUGUUCUCCACUGAGUUCGUGAAGUACCACAUAUUUUCUGCUAAGAUCAAUUGUGGCAAGUAAUGUUAGUCAACAUGUGCAAUCUUUUAGCAGCACACUGGCAGGUAAAGAGGAGUUUGAGGAGCAGAUCACCUGGCAAAGUUUUAGGUAGACAGUUGAAAGGGUUCACAUCUGUUAUCACAUUUGCCGGAAAAAAGUCUGCACGAGCCAUGCAAAACAUGAACUUGAAGAGCUCCUCAUUUGAACUGAUAUUUCUUAUAUCGAACAGAGGGGUGACAGCCGGAGGACACAUCUCGAGCAAUGUUGGAGAAAGGUGAAACUGUUCAGUGAGCAAACUUCGUCCUGAACCGAGCACAAAUGGAAAGUGAAUGAUGGUAACAAAAUACGGUCAUCAGAACCAGGGACGAGAGGCCAGAGACUAAUAUAUUAGCCUGCAGAAAUGUUAUUCUACUUCGAUUCCUCAAAGUAAUUGCGAAGAACUAAGGGGAAAAAACAAUGCAGCGGAUACCCAAAAAGGGGUAGAUAUACAACCCUUUUCUUUGAUAAUUCUCUCAGACCAGACCCAACACAACCCAAGUCUUCAUUUCUAGCACCCUCUUGAACAAGAAUUUCAGAGCAUCAGAUAUAGUUGUCUCAGCCGGCACCCGGGAGAGAUCGGACUAAAAAUGAUUUAUAAGGCAAUUGGAUGCCGUCAACAAAUUAUCAAUAUAUUCUUUAGCUUGGAAGAUACGUCAAUCAAUGCGCAAAUGAAUGUGAAUAUCGACGACAAGCUACAAUAUCUACAGAUUCAGGCAGAGUGAUCCAGAGACGUGAUGCAGAGCUAUUGAACAAAAACAGCAGGUAUCAGCUCCAUUUGAGCCCGAACGAAAGAAGGACGAACUAACUAGUGGAAUUAGAUCAACUGCCAUGGCCAUUAAGCACGGGAGAAAGGCGAACCCAUCGAACUAAAGUCGAAUUGAAAGCCACGAAAUAGCGUUAAGGGAAUUGAAUCAGGCCGAAUUCCUAACCUGGAGCAGAUGAUGACGACAAAGAAGAAGAAGAAGAACGAACCAGCCACGACUCGAAAUUCCUUAGCCUUUACUCAACAGAGGAGAACGAGCAGUAUGAACGGGUAUUUAUAGGCUGCUACUCAAGUGAAGACAGUGGACUCAACCAUGGUCUUCUCUUUAACUUUUUUCUAAUCUAGAACUCAACCAUGGUCAAUUACGCUAAAUGCGGAAACUAAUUGAGCUGACGUGUCAUCGUAGAUGAGUAAACAUGCCGACCGGCACCCGGAACGAGGUCAUUUAUUUGAUUUCUCGCCGAAAGAAGAAAUGACUGGCCCUAGAUAAAAAGCCGCUGUAAACGGAAGAGUUAAUUAUGGAUACUUUCAUCCCUCAAGAGAAAUAUCGUACGUUUUUUUUUAGUCUUCCAAAAAUGCAUAAAAAACUUUUUUUUUUAUUGCACGGUGGCAAAUGGCAUUUGUUCAUAUACCAAUCAUGUGACUAUUUAGAUAGAAUCAUUCAAUCAUCUUAUCAUGUAAUGUACAUUUCAGGAAUGUAAAUUUCAGUUGGUUGUUGAAUUUCAAUGAAUUUNNNNNNNNNNNNNNNNNNNNNNNNNNNNNNNNNNNNNNNNNNNNNNNNNNNNNNNNNNNNNNNNNNNNNNNNNNNNNNNNNNNNNNNNNNNNNNNNNNNNUAAAUUUUUGGACUAACCAAAAGAUAAAUGAAAAGUUCAAUAGACUGAGUGAGCAUAUUUUAAAUACUCAAUAAUGCAUCUCACUAGACUUGCUAAUUUGAAUUUAAAACAAAAAAAAAAAAGCAUUUUUUACUUUCUUGCCAAAAUGUAAAAACUACUAAAAAAGAAAAAGUCAUAUGUGAACCUUAGCAUCAAUAUUUGAAUAUUGUGAAAAUUCAAGAGUUUUCAAUUUGAGAAAAGUCAAAGUGUGCAAAUUGUGAAAUUUAAAUCAAGUAAAAAUUAAAACUCAAUCCAGACAAGUUAGAUAGUCUUGGAUGAAAAUGUCUAUUUGUUUGCAAUUGAACAAAGCUUUUCUCGCCAAAAUUUAAAAUAUUAUCCAAAAUUCAAAAAAUUAAUAAGAAUUUCGCAUUUAAAUUAAAAUGUCGGCAUUUAUAAAUUGGGAAAGUCUGCAGCAUUUUUAAUAAAAGGUAAAAGUGUAUUAACCACAUGAUUGGUCAAGUCUCGGCAAGCGUCCCUGACAAGUCGUUCGCUCGCGCCCCUCCUCAUCGAGCAAUCGCAGCAGUGACUAAUCAGUGGGGCCACGGUCGAUCGGCAACUUGCUGGAGUGGGAUGGCGAUAGUCAAAGACAUCAUCGUAGUCUGUCCAGUAAGGGCUCGACAUUGUGGCAAAAGUAUAAAAGGUUGACCCUGUUAUGGUGGCCCCCAGCUGCUUGGUCGGUAGUUUCUCCGAAAUUUCAGUGGCUGACUGGACUAGCCGGGGAAAAAGUCGCACUUUUUUUUUUUUUGUUUCCUUUGCAAAUUUUUUUUUUUGAGCAAGUUUUGCCUUUGCAAAUUUAGGAGGGCGAAAAUGGUUCGAGAUGACUUUGUGCUGGGAGUUGGGCAAUUUAAAUAGACUACUGUCAAUUCUAUUAUAAAAAGGACAAAAUUCACUAGCUUUGGUGAUAAGGUAGCGUUCAUGAUAUAAUGCUGAUGUUCUAUCUUAGUCAAAAGGCACAUUUAUAUAUAUAUUAAUUUAGAUUAAUGUAACACAAUUGAGAGAAGUGAUAGUGCGAUACAAUUAGUUAAAUUAGUCUGACAAACACAUUUUGACCAUUUGUCCCCUAGUGAAUUGAUAAUGUGCAUCACCCUAUGGCCCAUUCGAAAAACUUUAAUUGAUAAGAAUUUCUUAAUUUAGUAACACUGUUAUUUUCACUUGUAGAAUAAACUUAUCAACUUUUACCAUGUUAAGUACCACUACUACCUCCGAAAUUUGUGAAAUCGGACAUUUAGUCUUUGAAUUGGUGCAUUUUUUUCUUUUCCAAAUCAAGUCCUUUGGACUUUUGAUUCGUUUAAUCAGGUCCUUAAACUUGUAAAAGAGUUUUGGUAUUGAAAUAUCUAGUGUAGUGUUCGUGUCGAGAAAUAUAUCACUAUACGGUUCCUUUUGUCAUUAGUCAAUUUGCUUUAUUGAAGUAGGUAUUACAUGUAGGCAAUGCCUUCUUUGCUUACUCCUAUGUGGUUUUCCUUCUCGUUUUGAUCUCAUCUCGCAGGAUGAGGUGUGCUGACAACAAAAGUCAUAGUUCCUCAGACAAUCAGAAUCCUUUUUCCUGCGACUUUGGCGUUCGGCAUAGCACGUGGUGCAUGAUUGUUCUAGACGACAUUGAACCGGCUUUGCCACUUUACUUUCUUAAUCCCACAAGUAGGGCCAUUGAUCGAAAACGAAACUUCGACCCAAAAUCAACUUUGUCAUGUCGAUUGUACUUAGCAUGAUGGGUUGACUGCCGGUGCUUUUGCCCCGUGAAAAAGCAACAAUGGAAAAGAGAGUCAAUUCUCAUCUAGAAAUUACUAUGUGAGAGUAGACAAUUUGUUAAAAAAGAGGCUGCCAAUGACCCUCGCAGAGAGAAUAUUGAUGGCCGUCGACAAAUUGUGAUAAAAGCGUAGUACGUGCACUAAACAGAAUAUAAAUUAUCGAAGAUAGUGACUUCCGUAUGGGUCUCACAUGGAUCCCACCAAAUUAGACAAUUCAAAUUCAAUUCGGUAUAUAUUCUAAAAUACUCACUCACGCUUGUCAUACCAAAUAUAUACAUGGAAUGGGGCACAAAUUAGUGAUAGCUUCUCAUGGUAGCCUAGAGGAGAUUAAGCCUGUUGUCUUUCACAAGUUUGCAAAUUUAGUGAUGCAAGAGCAUCAAAUUCCACUGAAAACCAUUUGAUGUUUACGCAAACAAAGGAAAUUGUGGCCACAACAUGAUCCAAUGGGUCCCGUAAGGGGAAAGUGUCUAAUAUAGAAUUUUCAGAAAUUGAAGAAUAAAGGCUAUUUCAACUGAAUUGAAGGUUAGAGAGCUAUUUCCGAAUUAUGUUCCUAAUAUGAGUAUGUUACUUAGUUCAAGUUAGUUUCCUAAUUUGAUGUCUCCUGUUUUAGUAUUUCUUAGUUUUAUGUUUCUUAAUAUAAUGUUUCCUAGUUUAACGUUUCCUGAUAUAAUGUUUCCUAAUUUGAUGUUUUUUAAUUUAGCAUUUCCUAAUUCGACGUUUCCUAACUUAAUGAUUCCUAGUUUAACGUUUCCUAACUUAAUGUUUCCUAGUUUACGAAACAGAGAUUUUGAAUACGGGGACUAGAUUAUGUUAGAUUAACUCUAAUGCCCUUUUGGUGCAUUUUUUUUCUUUAUGAAAUUUUUUUAAUGCUAUCUUUUUUUUAAUCAAUUUCUUUAAUCUAAGCUACUUAUAUGUGAAAGUGAUCGAUCAUGCAUGUUGUGCAGACAAUAAAAAUUACACUCAAUAACUAAAGUAGUACAUAAAUUGCAAGAAAAAUUAAAGAAUUUGAAAUGUACAAAGCAACCUUAAGCAAAGCCUCAUCAUCAAGCUUCGGACGAGGUCUUGUGCGCUGCCUAUGUUUCAAGUUAAAUGCAAAAUCUUUAGGUUAAAGGAGUAUUAGUUAAAGUAUAACUUUGGAAACCGAUUUUAGUUUAAAUAAUAUUUGGAAAAAACUACACUUGAAAAGAACUUUAGGUGUAUAUUUUUAAAUAAUCAAUUUUUAUAAAAAAAAUCUACUUGUGACUAACUAUUGGUAGCUGGCGAGGGCCACCUCAGGUUGUGCAACCCCUGGCAACCCCCCGAGGUGGCCCUAGCCUGAGGUCAUGUGACUUCGAGUGAGGGUUGCUGGUGACAAAUUUCGCUCAUCGGCGGUGUGACAUCCCAAAUUUCUAAUUCUGUUUUCAAUUGAAUGAGUUGUGCUUUUCAUCGACGCGCCUAUAGUUCUUUUCCCUAAGCUGAUUACUCACUGGAUAACUAGUAUAUCUGAUGGAGCUGUUAAGGGAUUUUAACGCAGUAGACUUGAGAAUUCGACCAGAAAUUGACUGCUCGACCGUGCGAGUUUUACCUAAUGAUACGGCAUCGAACUGAUGUUUCAUGUACUCAAAGCUCUCAAGUCGCAAAAAAACAGGGGAAACGCUACUUUUAUACUAUUAACAUAUACCAACCAAACACGUCCAGAUAGCAUUCCUUUGUCUAUAUGUUUUUUCAUAUCACCUGCAGGUACUUGAAAUCAAGCUAGGCUUAGAAAAAACAGAUCUGUCUCCCGCAUUGAAUAAAUAAAACCAUUUCCCCCAAAUGCCAUAAUCUACUACAUAGUCUUGGGUGGUAGAUGCCACCUCAAUGUACCCACGAUUAUUCCGUCCAAUAGCAUAUAGUAUGUACAAAGAAUCCACCCCACGAGAAGUAGGAUGUAUCCAAACAACAUCUGCGCAGGUGGUAGGAUUGCCGACCUACUUCAUCAAAAGUUUGCCUUUUGACUGCAUGCCCCAUCUGUGACUAUGAGUACUGAAGAGAUGAACUAGAAUGGCAUGAAGCACAGGUACUUCUUCUGGAGCUUCUUCAAUGCUCCAUCAGUCUUCCUUCUUCCGCCAGGACCAGGAGAAGGUGCUCGGCCGCUGUUCGACCCGUCGCUACUCUGAGAACUGGAUGUUGGAAGGUACUUCCUCUUGAGCUUUUUCAGCCUCCCAUCUGUCUUGUUUCGAGCGAAGCUGGGCGUGGUGGGAUCCCGUACGAAGAAUCAUUCACGUUCGUGGAACAGCUAAAGAAAUGGUUGGCCUGGCGAAUUCUGCUCGUUGGGCGCCCGCGGGUCGUUCCGAGGCCAAGGAAACUCUCGGCCCGUGACACAAUCCUGUAAGUUAGCACCAGCUAUUCAGGACCCUUCACUAAAUGAUGAUCUGAAUGAAAUCUUGUACUGAUUUGGCAAGCUUUAGGAUGAACAAAACAAUGGCUUAAGAGGAGGAAAAGGAGUAGAUCUUUUGAUCAAAUUAAUUUACUUGCAAUUAGCAGUUUAAAUGCAUCGAAAUUACAAAAUCAUACAUAUAGGGAUUCUGACAACAUAGGACCUUAAACCACACAAUCACUGGACUUUCUUGAUCAGACAGGCAAAUUUCACCGCAAUGACUAGAACUUAGGCAAUACUGAUGUCAGUUAAGCUGGUCAAUGAUAUUAAUUACCGAUUAGGCUACAUUCUUAGCUAUAACUAAUCAAUUACAUAUGUUUACAUGAACUAAAAAGCAUGUUUUCCUUUCUCAUACGAUGCAGACAUAAAAUGUGCAGGCCUUGAAGGUGAUUGUCACCAGAAAAACGAGCAACAUGAAUAAUCAGGUGAGAUAGAACCAGCAGUAGCUCCUCUCUAUUGAAAACCAGAUGCAAGGAGGCCAAAGAAGAUACCUGAAAUUGCUGCUUGGACAACAACGUCAUCUGGCUUUGAAGAAUCAGUGACAUUAAGGUUGCAACCAGCAUCCCUAUGCUCUACAUGCUCUCCACUUUCAACUUCUGAGUCCAGCAUCGCGACAAGAUAAUCAAAGAUUUCAUCUGACAACGUGGUCACGCAGCUUGAAUUAUCCGACUGGGAAGAUGGAGAUUGUGGAAUGCCAAGGUCCAGCAAUUCUAAGUAGUCACCAGGAUUGAUAUGACCCAGCUCAGGCAGACUUUCAAUGGGAUGGCUAAGAAAGAAACUGGAUGCACGCAGCAUUAUAUUGCAGGAAGUGGUGUUAACCUACAACAGAUAAAAGUGUUGAUGAGCCAGGAGAUAGCAACAUUAGGGAGGCAACAGCAGUGACUAGCGUCCAUGUAACCAGGCACGAGGACGCAGAUUAUUACAAGAAGCAAGAAAUCCUUAUUUUAGAGUCCAGACAUCCAAUCACGAGAAAGUUAUGGAAAAGAUCAUUUACAAGCAUAUUUCAAUGGUGAAGACCAUUCUUUUUACUAUAAUAUGAGCCAUCUGAUCGAAGGCACAUAAUGGUAGUUAUUGAUAAUCUCAACCAAAACUUUCACGAGAUCAAUUGGCAAUUGAAACGUGACUAUCAUUAUCUCAGAACUUCUCUGUUCUUCUCAGAUUGAUGCGGCAAGUUUACAUUUUCUGAUCAAUUGAACUAAUUUUCAGUUAGUGAACAUAAUGCGCUUAUUUGGAUGCUUCAGCAUCUUGAAAAUUCACAACCGUAAGUCAUUCUGAGUAGUAAAUUUAUAUAUUUUCCAAUGUUAACUAGGCAUUGCUAAUCAAUCUAAUUUUAUUCAAGAAUUUAGGAAGAACCGAGCAACCACAAACAAGUCCGUAAGGCACACCUGCAUCUGGUUUGUUACACAUUGCUCGGUAGGUAUGUUGAAAUUAUCUGGAGACAGAGAGUAAAGGUAGUUUUCUCUACGGAACUCAGUACCCGCAGCAUUUUGCAGCAUUUCACUGUUAGAUAGUGUCAAGCUGCCACUGCGGAAGACUUUGCACAGCGAUUUAGCAUCCUGCACAAAAUCCAACCCAAACUGUUUGUUGACUGGCAGUAUGACUGGGGAAAGGGGAGGGGGGGUUGGGGAAUGCAUCAGUGAAUUAGUGCAGACAACGUGGAAUUCGGGUAAUACCUUUGCCGAAAGAGCUGCUCCUGACACCUUCGAAGUCAUAUAGUACUCCAGCAUCAACCAAUUAGUUUUUUCAACUUUUGGACCUCGUCCUUCGUAGAAUUCAUGAGUUUCUUCCCAACCAUUGAUGAAAGCAUCACCAAAUAUCUCACGGGGUUCUCCUCUAGGCAUCCAGAAUCCACCUUCUGCCCCCCUGUUCUCCAUUGAGUUCGUGAAGUACCACGUAUUUUCUGCUAAGAUCAAUUAUGGCAAGUAAUGUUAGUCAACAUGUGAAAUAUUUUAGCAGCACACUGGCAGAUAAAGAGGAGUUUGAGGAGCAGAUCACCUGGCAAAGUUUCAGGUAGACAGUUGAAAGGGUUCACAUCUGUUAUCACAUUUGCCGGAAAAAAGUCUGCACGAGCCAUGCAAAACAUGAACUUGAAGAGCUCCUCAUUUGAACUGAUAUUUUUUAUAUCGAACAGAGGGGCGACAGCCGGAGGACACAUCUCGAGCAAUAUCGGAGAAAGGGAAAACUUUUCAGCGAGCAAACUUCGUCCUGAACCGAGCACAAAUGGAAAGUCGAUGAUGGUAACAAAAUACGGUCAUCAGAACCAUGGACGAGAGGCCAGAGACUAAUCUAUUAGCCUGCAGAAAUGUUUUUCUUUUUUUUUUUUGGUGACCGCCUGCAGAAAUGUCAUUCUACUUCGAGUUCUCAAAAUAAUUGCGAAGAACUAAGGAGAGUAAACAAUGCAGCGGAUACCCAAAAAGGGGUAGAUAUACAACCCUUUUCUUUGAUAAUUCUCUCACCCACUUGAAUAANNNNNNNNNNNNNNNNNNNNNNNNNNNNNNNNNNNNNNNNNNNNNNNNNNNNNNNNNNNNNNNNNNNNNNNNNNNNNNNNNNNNNNNNNNNNNNNNNNNNGAGCAUCAGAUGUAGUUGUCUCAGCUGGCACCCUAGAGAGAUCGGACUAAAAAUCAUUUAUAAGGCAAUUGGAUGCCAUCAACAAAUUAUCAAUAUAUUCUUUAGCUUGGAAGAUACGUCAAUCAAUGCGCAAACUAAUGUGAAUAUCAACGACGAGCUGCAAUAUCUACAGAUUCAGGCAGAGUGAUACAGAGACGUGAUGCAGAGCUAUUGAACAAAAACAGCAGGUAUCAGCUCCAUUCGAGCCCGGACGAAAGAAGGACGAACUAACUAGUUGAAUUAGAUCAACUGCCGUGGCCAUUAAGCACGGGAGCUUCUUUUGAUGCUGAACUCGGAAACUAUCCGUCCUAUAAUGAUAGACUAGAGACAACAGCAGAAAGGCGAACCCAUUGAACUAAAGUCGAAAUGAAAGCUACGAAAUAGCGCUAAGGGAAUUGAAUCAGGCCGAAUUCCUAACCUGGAGGAGAUGAUGACGACAAAGAAGAAGAAGAACGAACCAGCCACGACUCAAAAUUCCUUAGCCUUUACUCAACAGAGGAGAACGAGCGGCUUGAACGGGUAUUUAUAGGCCGCUACUCGAGUGAAGACAGUAAACUCAACCAUGGUCUUCUCUUUUCCUUUUUUCUAAUCCAGAACUCAACCAUGGUUAAUAAUGCUAUAGGCGGAAACAAAUUGAGCUGACGUGUCAUCGUAGAUGAGUAACCACGCCGACCGGCACCCGGAACGAGGUCGUUUAUUUGAUUUCUCGCCGAAAGAAGAAAUGACCGGCCCUAGACAAAAAGCCGCUAUAAACGGACGAGUUAAUUAUGGAUACUUUCAUCCAUUAAGAGAAAUAUCGUACAUUUUUUUGAGUCUUCCAAAUAUGCCUAGAUAGUUUUAUUUGGAAAUAUUUUUAUUGCGUGGUGGCAAAUGGCGUUUGUUCAUAUACGGGUCAUGCAACUCUUUAGAUAGAAUCAUUCAAUCAUCUUAUCAUGUGAUAUAAAUUUCAGGAAUGUGAAUUUUAGUUGGUUGCUGAAUUUUAAUGAAAUUUGCAAUUUAAGUUAUAAACUUUUUAAAUAGAUCGAGUGAGCAUUUUAAUUGGAAUUUGAUAAGUUUUUGGACAAACCAAGAGAUAAAUGAAAAGUUCAUAGAUCGAGUGAGCAUAUUUUAAAUACUUGAUAAUACAUCUCACUAGACCUAUUUGUUUGAAUGAAAAAAAAAAAAAACAGAAAGUAUUUUCUUCUUUCUCACCAAAAUGUAGAAAGUACAAAAAAGAGAAAAAAAAAAGUCAUAUGUGAACCUUAGCAUCAAUAUUUAGAUACUGUGAAAAUUCAAAAGUUUACAAUUUAAGAAAAGUCGAGGUGUGCAAAUUGUGAAAUUUAAAUUAAGUAAAAGUUAAAACUCAAUCCAUACAGGUUAAAUAGUCUUGGAUGAAAUGUCUAUUUGUCUGUGUCUCGCCAAAAUUUAAAAUUUUAUCCAAAAUUCAGAAAAUGAAUAAAAAAAUUUCGCAUUUAAAUUAAAAUGUCGGCAUUUAUAAAUUGGGAAAGUUUGGAGCAUUUUUAAUAAAAGGUAAAAGUGUAUUAACCACAUGAUUGGUCAAGUCUCGGCAAGCGUCCCUGACAAGUCGUUCGCUCGUGCACCUCCUCGUCGAGCAAUCGCAGUCGCAGCGGUGACUAAUCAGUGGGGCCAACGGUCGAUCGGCAACUUGCUGGAGUGGGAUGGCGAUGGUCAAAGACAUCAUCGUAGUCCGUCCAGUAAGAGCUGGACAUGUGGAAAAGUAUAAAAGGUUGACCCUGUCAUGGUGGCCCCCAGCUGCUUGGUCGGUAGUUUCUCCGAAAUUUCAGUGGCUAUACAGCCGGGGAAAAAGUCGAACUUUUUUUUUUUCCUUUGCCAAUUUAGGAGGGCGAAAAUGGUUGGAGAUGACUAGUGUGAAUUCUAUUAGAAAAAGGACGAAAUUCGCUGGCUUUGGUGAUAAGGUAGCGUUCAUGAUAUCAUGUCGAUGUUCUAUCUUAGUCAAAAGGCACAUUAACAAUAUAUAUAUAUAUAUAUAUAUAUAUAUAUAUAUAUUAAAUUGGAUUAAUGUAACACAAUUGAGAGAAGUGAUAGUGAGAUACAUUUAGUUAAAUUAGUUUGACCAACACAUUUUGACUAUUUGUCCCCUAGUGAAUUGAUAACACGCAUUGUCCCAUGGCUCAUUCGAGAAAGUUUAAUUGAUGAGAAUUUCUUAAUUUAGUAACAUUGUUAUUUUCACUUGUAGAAUAAACUUAUCAACUUUUACCACGUUAAGUUACUGUUCUUGUGUUUACCUACCACCACUACCUCCAAAAUUUGUGAAAUCGGACAUUUAGUCUUUGAAUUGGUGCUUUUUUUUUUUUUUCCAAAUCAAGUAAUUUGGACUUUUGGUUCGUUUAAUCAGGUCCUUGAACUCGUAAAGAGUUUUGGCAUUGAAAUAUCUAGUGCAGUGUUUGUGUCAAGAAAUAUAUCACUAUACGGCUCAUUUUGUCAUUGGUCAAUUUGCUUUAUUAAAGUAGGUUUUACAUGUAGGCAAUGCCUUCUUUGCUUACUCCUAUGUGGUUUUCUUCUCUUGUCUUGAUCUCAUCUCCCAGGAUGUGUGCUGACAACAAAAGUCAUAGUUCCUCAGGCAAUCGGAAUCCUUUUUCCUGCGACUUUGGCGUUCGGCAUAGCACGUGGUGCAUGAUUAUUGGAGACGAGAUUGAACCGGCUUUGCCAAUUUACUUUCUUAAUCCCACAAGUAGGGCCAUUGAUCGAAAACGAAAUUUCCACCCAAAAUCAAUUUUGUCAUGUCGAUUGUACUUAGCAUGAUGGGUUGACUGCCGGUGCUCUUGCCCCGUGAAAAAGCAACAAUGGAAAAGAGAAAGUCAAUUCUCAUCUAGAAAUUACUAUAUAAGAGUAGACAAUUAGUUAAAAAAGAGGCCACCGAUGACCCUUGCAGAUAGAAUAUUGAUAGCCGUCGACAAAUUAUUAUAAAAGCGUAGUACGUGCACUAAACAAAAUAUAAAUUGUUGAAGAUAGUGACUUUCGUAUGGGUCUCACGUGAAUCCCACUAAAUUAAAUAAUUCAAAUUCAAUUCGAUAUAUAUUCUAAAAUACUCGCUCAUGCUCGUCAUACCAAAUAUAUACAUGGAAUGGGGCACAAAUUAGUGAUAGCUUCUCGCGGUAGCCUAGAGGAGAUUAAGCCUAUUAUCUUUCACAAGUUUGCAAAUUUAGUGAUGCGGGAGCAUCAAAUUCCAUUGAAAACCAUUUGAUGUUUAUGCAAACAAAGGAAACUGUGGCCACAACAUGAUCCAAUGGGUCCGGUAAGGAGAAAGUGUCUAAUAUAGAACUUUCAGAAAUUGAAGAAUAAGGGCCAUUUCAACUGAAUCGAAGGUGAGAGGGCUAUUUCCUAAUUAAGUAUGUUCCUAAUAUGAGUAUGUUACUUAGUUCAAGUUGGUUUCCUAGUUUGAUGUCUCCUGUUUUAGUAUUUCUUAGUUUGAUGUUUCUUAAUAUAAUGUUUCCUAGUUUAACAUUUCCUGAUAUAAUAUUUCCUAAUUUGAUGUUUCUUAAUUUAGAAUUUCCCAAUUCGAUGUUUCCUAACUUAAUGUUUCCUAGUUUAACGUUUCCUAGUUUAGUGUUUUUUAAUUUAGUGUCCUAGUCCCUCUAUAGAUCAAAGGUGUUCUCAGUUUUAACCAUUCAGAAUUUUUAGUUGAUGAUAAAUAAAAAUUUCUCUCAAGUGAGUAAUUCCUCUGAUUUUUAAUUCAAUUCGUUGCCAAUGAACCUAUAAUUCAAUUCGUUGCCAAUGAACCUAUAAAUUCUUUUAUCUUUACUGGUGGUAUAUGCCUUAAUACCUUAGUGGUGAACGACUCUAUCCUAAUCUUAUUUUAUCUCAAACUCAUUAAACACUUUAAACAUGUUUAACAAUCUCACCCAAACUCAUCACGCAUUAUGCAAAGUACAAGAAAUUUGUGUAGCCCAAUCUGUUAGAAUCCUCCCGAGGUGAACUAUCAUGUACAAAUGGUUCCUUUGAUGAGGUGAUUCGUACACUUAGCUCGAGCCCUCCAUCGAUUCAUAUUAUUUUGGAGCCACCACUAAUAUGUUAUAAAUUGAUUAGAAACCCAAGUAAGACACAAGAUUUUGUCUUACUUUUACAAAACAGAGAUUUUGAAUACGAGGACUAGAUUAUGUUAGAUUAACUCUAAUACCCUUUUGGUACAUUUCUUUUCUUUAUGGAAUUUUUUGCUUGCUAUCUUUUUUUAUCAAUUUCUUUAACCUAAGCCACUGAUAUGUGAAAGUGAUCGAUCACGCAUGUUGUGCAGAUAAUAAAAAUUACACUCAAUAACUAAAGUAGUACAUAAAUUGCAAGAAAAAUUAAAGAAUCUGAAAUGUACAAAGCAACCUUAAGCAAAGCCUCAUCAUCAAGCUUCGGACGAGGUCUUAUGCGCUGCGUAUGUUUCAGGUUAAACGCAAAAUCUUUAGGUUAAAGGAGUAUUGGUUAAAGUAUAACUUUGGAAUCAAUUUUAGUUUAAAUACUAUUUGGAAAAAACUACACUUGAAAAGAACUUUAGGUAUAUAUUUUUAAAUAAUUUUUUUUUUAAAUUUACUUGUGACCAACUAUUGGUAGCUGGCGAGGGCCACCUCGGGUCGCGCAACCCCUAGUAACCCCUCGAGGUGGCUAUGGUCUGAGGUCAUGUGACUUCAGGUGAGGGUUAUUGGUGUCAAAUUUUGCUCGUCGGCGGCUUGAGCCAUUUGCCCACAAUGUCAUAUGAGCCUCCAAGCAAUGGAAUUUAUGAAAUUAUGAAAUUUUAGUGAGGGUAAAAUUGAAAAAAAAUAUUAGCAUUCCAAAAAUGCUAAAACUCAACUUCCCCGGUCUUGUCUGAGAGCACUUUGGAAAUAUAAUGCAAAAGCUUUCUAAAAAAAAUUGCCAAAUGCCUCGACAUUUGCAUUAGGACUUAUAGAGGUAAUGUUGUUCCCAAAUGCAGCAUAAGAAUCAAAAGAUAAAGAUGCAAUAAUUUAAUAUAUGCAUGGCCUAGAUGGCACACCUAGGACAUGAACGACUAGACAGGAAUUAUCUAAUUAACGCAUUCUUAUUGCCAUAUUGCAAACGUAUCUACUAUGUAACUUAAUUUAAUCGAGUGUCGAAUACCUAGAGUGCCAAAAUUUGGCACGAAAGAACACUUAAAUGCCAAAAAUUAGGAAAGUAACACUUAAGUGCCAAAAUCAGAGUAAAAUUGAUCACUUAAUGCCAAUCCAAUCAAAAUCCGACCAAAAUGCCGACGUGGCGAUUUUCCGGUGAAAUAAGUGCAAAACAGCGUCGCUUUACACGUUGACAUGGCUAGAAAAAGGAAAAAAAAAAAAACGAAGUCGUUUUGCCUUUGACAUGGAAAAUAAUUAAUAUAAAAAUUAAUUAAAUUAAAUUUAAAAUUAAAUUUAUUUAAAAAACAAAAAACAAAAAAGGUUGGGAGGAAGAGAGGCGGCUAAGGGCCCGCGACGAAGGGGAGAGGGUCGGCCGGGGUCGCCGACCCCUAGCCAAUUGGUGGCGAGGGCUCGCGAGCCCUCGUUGGAUCUGGGCGAGGGCUCGUGAGCCCUCGCUGGAUCUAGGCGACGGCUUUUGGGCCCUUGCCGCCUCCCCGCCGUCACCGGAAAGGGUCGGCAACGAUGGGGGAGCGUUAGUUGUGGUCGUCGGGCUCUGGCCAGGGGCCGGCAACGUCGGCCAACUGACGGCGAGGGCCCGCAAGCCCUUGCCCAAAUCUAGGGUGAGGGUCGCAGCCCUUGCUCGGUCGGGCCAAGGGCCACCGCUCACUAGGGGGUCACCUCAACGGGCGGCGACCCUUGGCCCAGCCAGGCGAGGGCCGCCAACCCUCGCCAGAUCUCAGCGAGGGCUCGCGAGCCCUCAUCGCCAGUCAGCCAAGGACCGGCGACCCCAACCGACCCUCCCUUUCCAUUGUUAGCCCUUUUUGGCGACAGUGGUAAGGCGGCAGCGGCGAGGUCUCAACCCUCAGCCACCUCCCUUCCCCCCUCCUUUUUAAUUUUUUUUUUAAUAUUUGUAUUUGUAUUUGUAUUUUUAAAUGUUUUAAAUAAAUUAAUUUUAAUUUUAUUUUAUUAAUUUUUAUAUUAAUUUUUUACCACGUCAACACUAAAAUGACGUUGUUUUUGCAUUGUCUAGCCACGUCAGCGUGCAAAACGACGCCGUUUUACACUAAUUUCAUCGGAAAAUAGCCACGUCAGCAUUUUGGCCAAAUUGUCGCUUAAGUGAUCUAUUUUAUUCCGAUUUUGGCACUUAAGUGUCACUUUCUUAACUUUUAGAACUUUAAAGUGUCCCUCCAUGCCAAGUUUUGGCACUUGUGGUGUAUUUCUCCCUAAUUUAAUCUGCUUGGAUUUUCUACAUUUAAUUAACAUGAUAAAUUCGAAAUUACCUCCUUAAACAACUACAUGGCCGAAACCUACAUGUGCAUUAAAUGAUGAGCAUAACUUAAAUUGUUUAAUGAUAUGCAUGACUUAAUAUUACCAAAUGAUAUGCGUAAAUGUGGGCUAAUGAAUGAUAGUAAUCAACGAAUAACACAAAUUAAUGCCACAGUCACCUAAAUGAGACAUCAAACUAUUUUUCUAUUUUCUUGAUUAAGACCAUGAGUAUGCAUGCAGCAACUAAACAAAUAUUCAUGAUAAGAUUAAUUCAAUUAAAAGAUAAAUGAAUAGCCUAAUAUGAACUCCUAAAUGCUGAAUGAUGUGUAUACUAAACUAUAUAAAAAUAACAUGAAGUAAUGCACUCGUGCAAAGACUAGUUAAAUGAAGCCUAGACGCAAUGUGUCGUGGGCGAAAUCCUUCAAAUAAAAUAACAUGUGUAUUCUAAACUAUCAUGCAUAACCUAAAUCACUAUCCAACAUGCCUAAUGAAUAUUAUUCUAUACGAGAUAAGACUAAACAAUAAACCCUAGAUGCAGCUUAUAUGAAUAUUAAUAAAAAUUAAUUCCUGAAGACUAUAACAUGGUCAUGAUUUUUCUAUAUCACGUGACAUGCGUGAUAUGACUUAGACUAACAUGCAUCUAACUAAUAUUAACUCCAAUAUUAAAGAAUUGCAAGGACAUGUUACUCUUUAAAUGACGUGUACCGUACAACAUGAAUAUCGACAUUCUCAUAAUGCAAUCUAUAUGGAAUGCUAAUUUAAUUUUUUUGUAUUUUUCUUUAUCAGUGAGUUUAAGAAAACCGAUAUUAUACCCUAGGAAAACUACAUGUAACCGAAAUACAUUUAUCAAUUUGUAAACAUGCAAAACAUUUUAAGAUGUAUCAAUAUAAAUUAAAGCCCAUCAAGAUUACUCAAGAAUAUCCAUAAUUAUUAUUCACGAUGAUUCAAGAUUAUUAAAGAAACAUGCAAGGCAAUCAAGAAUCAUCAAGGAUCAUGCAUGUUUAUUUCAUAGUGCCCUUGACAUUGUUUCGCCAGUUUUAGAUCCCGCACUGAAAUAACUUUCAUCAAGCAUUAUAUUUUGAUUUUUAUUAAAGGAGACUCAGGUUCUAUGUUAACUUUGAACAGAGAAGGUCAAAUGUGAAUGAGACUAUAUCUAUCAUAUAAUUUCGAAUCUAAAGAAGUUGUUUAAUAUACUUAACACACUUAACAUGAGCUUAAUAUCAACGACAAUUAAUGUCGAAAUCUAAUCAACAGUACCAUCUACACUCACUUUAACAUAAUAAUGAAAGCCCAUUAAAAUUAAAGUGGUUUAUACAAUAUCAAAGACGAUUCGACAAUGUUGGAUAUUUACAAAAGCGUUCGAAAAGCACCGCUUUCUAAUAAGUUCGAGGACACAACAUUAGAACCAAAUUGACGAUGCUAGACAAUGAAGAGACACUGCUUCUAGAUGGAUAUGAUGACAUAAUGUCGGAAUCUAAUCGAAGACUCUGGACAGUGGUAAUAAGCCUUAGAAAACACCGCUUCUAGGUGAGUAUGAGGACACAACGUCGAAAUCUAAUUGACGAUGCUGGAUAGUGAAGAUAGCACCUAGUAAACACUGUUUUUAGAUGAGUAUGUAGACACAACUUCAGAAUUUAAUCGACGAUGCUGAAUAGUGAGUUAAUACUGGAAUCUAUUGAAUAGUAUAGACACUCGUUGGAAUUGAAUCUACGAUAGGAAUCUUAAACUACAGCUAAGCUAAACUAAGCAAAAGUAAAAGGCCAAUUUUGUAUGUUGUUUGAUGGGCUCUUUGUUGGAUUACCUAUGGUAUUUAUAGGCCAAUUUAGUAACCAUUAGUGGUCAGCUACUCCCUCCUCAAGAGUUACUCCACGUUCUCUGUUGAACCAUCUUAUCCAAAUCUGGUUUUUGACUUGUUCGACAAUAUUCUCAUGGCUUGUCUAACAAGGAUUAACAACUCCUCUUGAGUUUGGCGCACUAUUAAUUGUUCCUACCUAAAUUCACUAUGAAUGUUAUGUCUCCAAUAGCAUCUCUUGACUUUGACACAUGGCAACCAGUUGCUUCAUCAUAAAAUUAUGUAUCUUUGCUUGUACGUUCAUCGAAAUUUAGCCUAAGGAUUCUCGAAAUCAUUGGCUAUCCUUUAUAUUUAUAACCACUAUGGGUUAGGCCAAUGUAAAUUACAGCCCACAUGCGGCAACAAGUGUGAUUUUAGAGUUUUGUGCCCCUCACAACCAGCACACGUUUGCAAGGGUAUUUUUGGGUGUCAACAAACAUUAUACUUCAUAGAAUAAAAACUCUUGAUAUUAAAUGUGAUAUAUGAACCAUUAUGAUUGAGAGUUUGGCUCAAAGAUCCAAUUCUUCAAUAUAAUAUGCAAUGUAUAAUGCAAAGGGAACCUAAGUGAUUAUGACGACUAUAUAUUAAACAUGGAAUGGCAUAAAAUUGAAACAUUAUGCAUUGUUCAAUCACAUGGUACCAAUUCUAUCCUUACCAACCAUACCUUGAUUAGAACUCCAAAGACACCAAGUGAGAUCAUAGCAAGGAGGGGCGGCCACCAAAGAUGUUGGGAAAAACCCAUAUGAUGAUUUGAAGAAGACAAAAUAAUCAAUGACUACUAAUGCAUGUAUUUGUUGAGUAAGACUAGGUGAGAGAUGCACAAAUCAAAAUGCAAAUGGUGUCCUAAUAGGAUUGUCUAAAAAUUAAGAGUUCUUUAUCAAGGGUGAAGAAGGCAUUGAGUGGGUGUAGAGUUGUGUACAAGCUGUGGGUAUCUAAGUAGAAGGUGAACAAGCCUAGACGGUGAGUUCCAUAAAGCUUGGAGAUACCAUGAAUAGGUGAAUAGCUUGGUAGAGCCAUGAUUGUCAAUAUGCUUUGAUGGAUCGGAAGAUAGAAGCUUGAGUGAAGUUGAUAUCCUUUCCUAAUGUCGAAGGUACCCCAAGUAUAAAGUGAAAGAUUAAUGAUAGUUGGACAAACCUUUAUGGAGGUGAACAAGUCAUGAACAACAUGAAGUUAAUGGAGACUUGGAAAUACCAAACAAGGUAAACAAUUUAUUUAGUUUUGUUACACUGAGAUAGUGAGUAAGACCCAUGGAUGAUGGUUCGUAAGUUGAAUAGAAGCAAAUAGCUUAAAUAUACUCACAGAUUGUCGAUAUUAGUAGCCGACUAUAUUAAUUGAACAUGCUUAUAAUUUAUUUAUUAUUUGGAUAAGAGACCCAAAAUUUAUUUGACUAAUAUUAUGUGUCAAAAGGGAUUUAACAGCUAUCUCCAAGGAUUGAAAUUAUGAAAAGAAGAUUAGAGAUAAAUCAAUUGGUUUAUUACCAAAUUCAAAGGAAUUAAUUAUUAUCAAGGCCAAAUCAAUUUAGGAAGACCUCCCAAUUACCUAAAGAUUUGAUUGUAUGGGCGACCAAAUCUCCGGUGAUUGUGUCCAUCAAUUCUAACGGCCAAUUGAUCCUCUUGAAGAUCCUCCAACGGCUAGUUUAAAGAUUGAAAACUACAUAAGAAAAUCAAUACAUGCUGCCAGACAUAGGGGGGAAGAGCGAGAAAGUUUCAAACAUUGAUGUAGUCACAUUCUAUUUGAUUACUACAAUCAUGCUUGUGUCCAAGUUAUGUUAUACUCUUUAGAGAGUUGUUCCUAAUUGUAAUACAUGACUUGAGCAUUGUGCAACUGUGUUAGUAGUGCUUGAUCAGUGUUACAACGUUGGGUAGCAAUAGCACACAUUAUGUUCUAACUACUCAAGAGAUAAUUAUUAGAUUCUAACCUUAUUAGUAGUUGUUAAUCUGGGAGAGUGUACAUAGACUUAAUCCAAGUCGAAUCACUAUAAAUCUACAUGCAUCUAUAUUUAUCCCUUUGCCUUUUAAUUUAACUAUUUCAUAGAAGCACCACACUAAAUAUUAGCAGCUCUUUCUAGCAUAUAUCAAACUAAAGGUCAUCUAUUCAAAUGUCACAAAUUGCAUGUAAAUCACUUUCAAUCAAGGUCACAUGUUCAUAGGCCAAAUACCCAACGAUACCCCAACCUUUAACUUCAGCCUUAAUUAUGCCAUAAUUUUUUUUUUUGUCUAAUAAAAAUUCAAACUUUAGGUCAAGUCCUAAAUUUGCUAUAAAGAUUUUUUUCUCUUAUAAAAAAUUCUCAACAUUAGAUCCGGUCCCAAUACUACCAUAAACUUCUUCUUCUUUUUCCAUAGUAAACCACCAAUUUUUACUAGACUCACAUCACAUUAACCAUUCAUCCGAUAUCGCCCUUGUUGGUACGUCAUUGCUAUAGUUUUUCCCUACAUUUCAGAUCCCAAAAGGCAUUUUUUGGAGAUGAAUUUCCACAUCACCCAAACGGUAUCUUCUUGGAUCUAAAAUUUGGAUAAAAUUAGACCAAUUAGAGUUGGCUUCCUUUAAUUACUCUUACUUUUAAGAAAGUUUUCCUUCCAUCUUGUCUAGGAAUGUUUGAUUUUGCACUCAAUCUUCAAUCUCUUGUGCUCGGGAGACUUCCAUCUCGUGUGAUUGGAGAGCUCGCGCUUGGGACACUCCAUUCAGGAUGCUUGAAUAGCUCGCGCUCAAGAGUAUCCUAUCUCUCGGUUGUCAACAAGAAACUUUUAAUGAAGGUAGAUUUAGUAAAAGUUGGUAAACUUGAGAUUGGACGUAAAGUUGGGAAUUUUUAUGAUAUUAGUCCAUUCUUUCUACAUAGCAGAAGUAGCGAAGUGUUUGCACCCGUACCUUAAAUUACAGAUAAAAAAUGAAACAAUGACCCCGAUUGAGCGUUUUGCAGCGAAUGUGAGAAUCACGGAUAAGAUCUUUAUGGUGCUGAGUCGGGGCUCAUCAUCAUUGCCCCGCCCCUUGUCUAAUGUGAGAAUCUCAUCCUCGCACAAUGUAAGAUUGCUACGGUCCCAGGAUUUCUAUGUAGUGGAUCCACAUGAAUCGCUUGCGUGCUAAGGUCACUCCCUGUCCAAAGAGAUAGGAAGUUCAGAAAGACGACAUGUCGAUUGUCAUUUUCCCUUUACUAUAGUGCAGCGCAUUUGGUUAACUUUCUUUCGGCAGUGCUCUCGAAGGUUGCCAAUCUUUUCAGCUCUUGCGCACGCAACGCGCCAUCCGCUUGCGCAAUGUGUGCGCAUAGCACCAUGGGCCUAAAUUUAACCCGAAUUCCACCGGGUACGUGUAGUGUUUUAUUUAUCCGGACAACUGAGGCCAAUGCCUGGAUCGCAUGACCCAAGCCGAAUCUGCUGCAUUCAGGCAACCCCUGUCGGUCAUCACCUGGGAUCCCUCGAUGAGCCGAUGAUGGGGUCCCGUGGAGCUGGCAAUCAACAACAACAGCCAGGCGACCUCAAUGAUCGGCAGCCGUGAUCAAGCAAUUAUAAUUAUCACCUAUAUGGGUCUUACAACCCUUAUUAGGUGUGGUAGAGGGCACCGUUGCGGUGCAAUUUCGCCAAGUGCAUUGUAAAGACUAUUCUGCAACCGAUAUUGCUGCGAAAAACCCGCACGGAAUUUUCUUUAGGCGACACGAUGACGAUGCCUGCCAUAAGGCAGUGCUACUCAAGGUCCAAUCGGAUGCAUUACUCAAGGUCCAGAGGCAGAGAAAAAGGAAAGUCGGGCCAUCAUAAGCCCAGAACUUAUCACCAAAUCUUCGUCGAUGAAGCUGAACCAUACACGUUUUGCCUAAUGAUACGGCAUCGAACUGAUGUUUCAUGUACUCAAAGCUCUCAAGUCGCAAAAAAACAGGGGAAACGCUACUUUUAUACUAUUAACAUAUACCAACCAAACACGUCCAGAUAGCAUUCCUUUGUCUAUAUGUUUUUUCAUAUCACCUGCAGGUACUUGAAAUCAAGCUAGGCUUAGAAAAAACAGAUCUGUCUCCGGCAUUGAAUAAAUAAAACCAUUUCCCCCUAUGCCAUAAUCCACUAAAUAGUCUUGGGUGGUAGAUGCCACCUCAAUGUACCCACCAUUAUUCCGUCCAAUAUCAUAUAGUAUGUACAAAGAAUCCACCCCACGAGAAGUAGAAUGUAUCCAAACAACAUCUGCGCAGGUGGUAGGAUUGCCGACCUACUUCAUCAAAAGUUUGCCUUUUGACUGCAUGCCCCAUCUGUGACUAUGAGUACUGAAGAGAUGAACUAGAAUGGCAUGAAGCACAGGUACUUCUUCUGGAGCUUCUUCAAUGCUCCAUCAGUCUUCCUUCUUCCGCCAGGACCAGGAGAAGGUGCUCGGCCGCUGUUCGACCCGUCGCUACUCUGAGAACUGGAUGUUGGAAGGUACUUCCUCUUGAGCUUUUUCAGCCUCCCAUCUGUCUUGUUUCUUCCAUCAGCGGAUGGUGUCUGGCUACUGUCCGACAGUUGGCGGCUCUGAGAAGCUAAAGUCAAUGGUGGACUGCCAUCCCUAUUGACUGGUUUGCCAUCUCUGGCAUUCUGUGAAGAUCUCUCUUUAAUAGGCAAUCCUGUAAGUUAGCACCAGCUAUUCAGGACCCUUCACUAAAUGAUGAUCUGAAUGAAAUCUUGUACUGAUUUGGCAAGCUUUAGGAUGAACAAAACAAUGGCUUAAGAGGAGGAAAAGAAGUAGAUCUUUUGAUCAAAUUAAUUUACUUGCAAUUAGCAGUUUAAAUGCAUUGAAAUUACAAAAUCAUACAUAUAGGGAUUCUGACGACAUAGGACCUUAAACUACACAAUCACUGGACUUUCUUGAUCAGACAGGCAAAUUUCACCGCAAAGACUAGAACUUAGGCAAUACUGAUGUCAGUUAAGCUGGUCAAUGAUAUUAAUUACCGAUUAGGCUACAUUCUUAGCUAUAACUAAUCAAUUACAUAUGUUUACAUGAACUAAAAAGCAUGUUUUCCUUUCUCAUACGAUGCAGAUAUAAAAUGUGCAGGCCUUGAAGGUGAUUGUCACCAGAAAAACGAGCAACAUGAAUAAUCAGGUGAGAUAGAACCAGCAGUAGCUCCUCUCUAUUGAAAACCAGAUGCAAGGAGGCCAAAGAAGAUACCUGAAAUUGCUGCUUGGACAACAACGUCAUCUGGCUUUGAAGAAUCAGUGACAUUAAGGUUGCAACCAGCAUCCCUAUGCUCUACAUGCUCUCCACUUUCAACUUCUGAGUCCAGCAUGGCAACCAGAUAAUCAAAGAUUUCAUCUGACAACAUGGUCAUGCAGCUUGAAUUAUCCGACUGGGAAGAUGGAGAUUGUGGAAUGCCAAGGUCCAGCAAUUCUAAGUAGUCACCAGGAUUGAUAUGACCCAGCUCAGGCAGACUUUCAAUGGGAUGGCUAAGAAAGAAACUGGAUGCACGUCGCAUUACAUUGCAGGAAGUGGUGUUAACCUACAACAGAUAAAAGUGUUGAUGAGCCAGGAGAUUGCAACAUUCGGGAGGCAACAGCAGUGACUAGCGUCCAUGUAACCAGGCACGAGGAUGCAGAUUAUUACAAGAAGCAAGAAAUCCUUAUUUUAGAGUCCAGACAUCCAAUCACGAGAAAGUUAUGGAAAAGAUCAUUUACAAGCAUAUUUCAAUGGUGAAGACCAUUCUUUUUACUAUAAUAUGAGCCAUCCGAUCCAAGGCACAUAAUGGUAGUUAUUGAUAAUCUCAACCAAAACUUUCACGAGAUCAAUUUGCAAUUGAAACGUGACUAUCAUUAUCUCAGAACUUUUCUGUUCUCAGCAAGUUUACGUUUUCGGAUCAAUCGAACUAAUUUUCAGUUAGUGAACAUAAUGCGCUUAUUUGGAUGCUUCGGCAUCUUGAAAAUUCACAACCGUAGGUCAUCCUGAGUAGUAAAUUUAUAUAUUUUCCAAUGUUAACUAGGCAUCGCUAAUCAAUCUAAUUUUAUUCAAGAAUUUAGGAAGAACCGAGCAACCACAAACAAGUCCAUAAGGCACACCUGCAUCUGGUUUGUUACACAUUGCUCGGUAGGUAUGUUGAAAUUAUCUGGAGACAGAGAGUAAAGGUAGUUUUCUCUACGGAACUCAGUACCCGCAGCAUUUUGCAGCAUUUCACUGUUAGAUAGUGGCAAGCUUCCACUGCGGAAGACUUUGCAGAGCGAUUUAGCAUCCUGCACAAAAUCCAACCCAAACUGUUUGUUGACUGGCAGUAUGACUGGGGAAAGGGGAGGGGGGGUUGGGGAAUGCAUCAGUGAAUUAGUGUAGACAACGUGGAAUUCGGGUAAUACCCUUGCCGAAAGAGCUGCUCCUGACACCUUCGAAGUCAUAUAGUACUCCAGCAUCAACCAAUUAGUUUUUUCAACUUUCGGGCCUCGUCCUUCGUAGAAUUCAUGAGUUUCUUCCCAACCAUUAAUGAAAGCAUCACCAAAUAUCUCACGGGGUUCUCCUCUAGGCAUCCAGAAUCCACCUUCUGCCCCCCUGUUCUCCAUUGAGUUCGUGAAGUACCACGUAUUUUCUGCUAAGAUCAAUUAUGGCAAGUAAUGUUAGUCAACAUGUGCAAUAUUUUGGCAGCACACUGGCAGAUAAAGAGGAGUUUGAGGAGCAGAUCACCUGGCAAAGUUUCAGGUAGACAGUUGAAAGGGUUCACAUCUGUUAUCACAUUUGCCGGAAAAAAGUCUGCACGAGCCAUGCAAAACAUGAACUUGAAGAGCUCCUCAUUUGAACUGAUAUAUUUUAUAUCGAACAGAGGGGCAACAGCCGGAGGACACAUCUCGAGCAAUAUCGGAGAAAGGCGAAACUUUUCAGCGAGCAAACUUCGUCCUGAACCGAGCACAAAUGGAAAGUCAAUGAUGGUAACAAAAUACGGUCAUCGGAACCAUGGACGAGAGGCCAGAGACUAAUCUAUUAGCCUGCAGAAAUGUUAUUCUACUUCGAGUCCUCAGAAUAAUUGCGAAGAACUAAGGAGAAAAAACAAUGCAGCGGACACCCAAGAAGGGGUAGAUAUACAACCCUUUUCUUAGAUAAUUCUCUCAGACCAGACCCAACACAACCCAAGUCUUCAUUUCUAGCACCCUCUUGAACAAGAAUUUCAGAGCAUCAGAUGUAGUUGUCUCAGCUGGCACCCUAGAGAGAUCGGACUAAAAAUCAUUUAUAAGGCAAUUGGAUGCCAUCAACAAAUUAUCAAUAUAUUCUUUAGCUUGGAAGAUACGUCAAUCAAUGCGCAAACUAAUGUGAAUAUCAACGACGAGCUGCAAUAUCUACAGAUUCAGGCAGAGUGAUACAGAGACGUGAUGCUGAGCUAUUGAACAAAAACAGCAGGUAUCAGCUCCAUUCGAGCCCGGACGAAAGAAGGACGAACUAACUAGUUGAAUUAGAUCAACUGCCAUGGCCAUUAAGCACGGGAGCUUCUUUUGAUGCUGAACUCGGAAACUAUCCGUCCUAUAAUGAUAGACUAGAGACAACAGCAGAAAGGCGAACCCAUUGAACUAAAGUCGAAAUGAAAGCUACGAAAUAGCGCUAAGGGAAUUGAAUCAGGCCGAAUUCCUAACCUGGAGGAGAUGAUGACGACAAAGAAGAAGAAGAACGAACCAGCCACGACUCCAAAUUCCUUAGCCUUUACUCAACAGAGGAGAACGAGCGGCUUGAACGGGUAUUUAUAGGCCGCUACUCGAGUGAAGACAGUAAACUCAACCAUGGUCUUCUCUUUUCCUUUUUUCUAAUCCAGAACUCAACCAUGGUUAAUAAUGCUAUAGGCGGAAACAAAUUGAGCUGACGUGUCAUCGUAGAUGAGUAACCGCGCCGACCGGCACCCGGAACGAGGUCGUUUAUUUGAUUUCUCGCCGAAAGAAGAAAUGACCGGCCCUAGAUAAAAAGCCGCUAUAAACGGAAGAGUUAAUUAUGGAUACUUUCAUCCAUUAAGAGAAAUAUGAUACAUUUUUUUGAGUCUUCCAAAUAUGCCUAGAUAGUUUUAUUUGGAAAUAUUUUUAUUGCGCGGUGGCAAAUGGCGUUUGUUCAUAUACAGGUCAUGUAACUCUUUAGAUAGAAUCAUUCAAUCAUCUUAUCAUGUGAUAUAAAUUUCAGGAAUGUGAAUUUUAGUUGGUUGCUGAAUUUUAAUGAAAUUUGCAAUUUAAGUUAUAAACUUUGAUUAUACAUUUUAAAUAGAUCAAGUGAGCAUUUUAAUUGGAAUUUGAUAAGUUUUUGGACGAACCAAGAGAUAAAUGAAAAGGUCAAUAGAUCGAGUGAGCAUAUUUUAAAUACUUGAUAAUACAUCUCACUAGACCUAUUUGUUUGAAUGAAAAAAAAAACAAAACAAAAAGUAUUUUCUUCUUUCUCACCAAAAUGUAGAAAGUACAAAAAAGAGAAAAAAAAAAGUCAUAUGUGAACCUUAGCAUCAAUAUUUAGAUACUGUGAAAAUUCAAAAGUUUACAAUUUAAGAAAAGUCGAGGUGUGCAAAUUGUGAAAUUUAAAUUAAGUAAAAGUUAAAACUCAAUCCAUACAGGUUAAAUAGUCUUGGAUGAAAUGUCUAUUUGUCUGUGUCUCGCCAAAAUUUAAAAUUUUAUCCAAAAUUCAGAAAAUGAAUAAAAAAAUUUCGCAUUUAAAUUAAAAUGUCGGCAUUUAUAAAUUGGGAAAGUUUGGAGCAUUUUUAAUAAAAGGUAAAAGUGUAUUAACCACAUGAUUGGUCAAGUCUCGGCAAGCGUCCCUGACAAGUCGUUCGCUCGUGCACCUCCUCGUCGAGCAAUCGCAGCGGUGACUAAUCAGUGGGGCCAACGGUCGAUCGGCAACUUGCUGGAGUGGGAUGGCGAUGGUCAAAGACAUCAUCGUAGUCCGUCCAGUAAGAGCUCGACAUGUGGAAAAGUUUAAAAGGUUGACCCUGUCAUGGUGACCCCCAACUGCUUGGUCGGUUGUUUCUCCGAAAUUUCAGUGGCUAUACAGCCGGGGAAAAAGUCGAACUUUUUUUUUUCCUUUGCCAAUUUAGGAGGGCGAAAAUGGUUGGAGAUGACUAGUGUGAAUUCUAUUAGAAAAAGGACGAAAUUCGCUGGCUUUGGUGAUAAGGUAGCGUUCAUGAUAUCAUGUCGAUGUUCUAUCUUAGUCAAAAGGCACAUUAACAAUAUAUAUAUAUAUAUAUAUAUAUAUAUAUAUAUUAAAUUGGAUUAAUGUAACACAAUUGAGAGAAGUGAUAGUGAGAUACAUUUAGUUAAAUUAGUUUGACCAACACAUUUUGACUAUUUGUCCCCUAGUGAAUUGAUAACACGCAUUGUCCCAUGGCUCAUUCGAGAAAGUUUAAUUGAUGAGAAUUUCUUAAUUUAGUAACAUUGUUAUUUUCACUUGUAGAAUAAACUUAUCAACUUUUACCAUGUUAAGUUACUGGUCUUGUGUUUAGCUACCACCGCUACCUCCAAAAUUUGUGAUAUUGGACAUUUAGUCUUUGAAUUGGUGCAUUUUUUUUUUUCCGAAUCAAGUAAUUUGGACUUUUGGUUCGUUUAAUCAGGUCCUUGAACUCGUAAAGAGUUUUGGCAUUGAAAUAUCUAGUGCAGUGUUCGUGUCAAGAAAUAUAUCACUAUAUGGUUCAUUUUGUCAUCGGUCAAUUUGCUUUAUUGAAGUAGGUAUUACAUGUAGGCAAUGCCUUCUUUGCUUACUCCUAUGUGGUUUUCCUUCUCUUGUCUUGAUCUCAUCUCCCAGGAUGAGGUGUGCUGACAACAAAAGUCAUAGUUCCUCAGGCAAUCGGAAUCCUUUUUCCUGCGACUUUGGCGUUCGGCAUAGCACGUGGUGCAUGAUUAUUGAAGACGAGAUUGAACCGGCUUUGCCAAUUUACUUUCUUAAUCCCACAAGUAGGGCCAUUGAUCGAAAACGAAAUUUCCACCAAAAAUCAAUUUUGUCAUGUCGAUUGUACUUAGCAUGAUGGGUUGACUGCCGGUGCUCUUGCCCCGUGAAAAAGCAACAAUGGAAAAGAGAAAGUCAAUUCUCAUCUAGAAAUUACUAUAUGAGAGUAGACAAUUAGUUAAAAAAGAGGCCACCGAUGACCCUUGCAGAUAGAAUAUUGAUAGCCGUCGACAAAUUAUUAUAAAAGCGUAGUACGUGCACUAAACAUAAUAUAAAUUGUUGAAGAUAGUGACUUCCGUAUGGGUCUCACGUGAAUCCCACUAAAUUAAAUAAUUCAAAUUCAAUUCGAUAUAUAUUCUAAAAUACUCGCUCAUGCUCGUCAUACCAAAUAUAUACAUGGAAUGGGGCACAAAUUAGUGAUAGCUUCUCGCGGUAGCCUAGAGGAGAUUAAGCCUAUUAUCUUUCACAAGUUUGCAAAUUUAGUGAUGCGGGAGCAUCAAAUUCCACUGAAAACCAUUUGAUGUUUAUGCAAACAAAGGAAACUGUGGCCACAACAUGAUCCAAUGGGUCCGGUAAGGAGAAAGUGUCUAAUAUAGAAUUUUCAGAAAUUGAAGAAUAAGGGCUAUUUCAACUGAAUAGAAGGUUAGAGGGCUAUUUCCUAAUUAAGUAUGUUCCUAAUAUGAGUAUGUUACUUAGUUCAAGUUGGUUUCCUAGUUUGAUGUCUCCAUUUUUAGUAUUUCUUAGUUUGAUGUUUCUUAAUAUAAUGUUUCCUAGUUUAACAUUUCCUGAUAUAAUGUUUCCUAAUUUGAUGUUUCUUAAUUUAGCAUUUCCUAAUUCGAUGUUUCCUAACUUAAUGUUUCCUAGUUUAACAUUUCCUAGUUUAGUGUUUUUUAAUUUAGUGUCCUAGUCCCUCUAUAGAUCAAAGGUGUAUUCUCAGUUUUAAACAUUCGGAAUUUUUAGUUGAUGAUAUAUAAAAAUUUCUCUCAAGUGAGUAAUUCUUCUGAUUUUUAAUUCAAUUCGUUGCCGAUGAACCUAUAAAUUCUUUUAUCUUUAUUGGUGGUAUAUACCUUAAUACCUUAGUGGUGAACGACUCUAUCCUAAUCUUAUUUUAUCUCAAACUCAUUAAACACUUUAAACAUGUUUAACAAUCUCACCCAAACUCAUCACGCAUUAUGCAAAGUACAAGAAAUUUGUGUAGCCCAAUCUGUUAGAAUCCUCCCGAGGUGAACUAUCAUGUACAAAUGGUUCCUUUGAUGAGGUGAUUCGUACACUUAGCUCGAGCCCUCCAUCGAUUCAUAUUAUUUUGGAGCCACCACUAAUAUGUUAUAAAUUGAUUAGAAACCCAAGUAAGACACAAGAUUUUGUCUUACUUUUACAAAACAGAGAUUUUGAAUACGAGGACUAGAUUAUGUUAGAUUAACUCUAAUACCCUUUUGGUACAUUUCUUUUCUUUAUGGAAUUUUUUGCUUGCUAUCUUUUUUUAUCAAUUUCUUUAACUUAAGCCACUAAUAUGUGAAAGUGAUCAAUCAUGCAUGUUGUGCAGACAAUAAAAAUUACACUCAAUAACUAAAGUAGUACAUAAAUUGCAAGAAAAAUUAAAGAAUCUGAAAUGUACAAAGCAACCUUAAGCAAAGCCUCAUCAUCAAGCUUCGGACGAGGUCUUAUGCGCUGCGUAUGUUUCAGGUUAAAUGCAAAAUCUUUAGGCUAAAGGAGUAUUGGUUAAAGUAUAACUUUGGAAAUCAAUUUUAGUUUAAAUACUAUUUGGAAAAAACUACACUUGAAAAGAACUUUAUAUAUAUUAAAUAAAUUAUUAUUUAAAAAAAAAUCUACUUGUGACUAACUAUUGGUAGCUGGCGAGGGCCACCUCGGGUCGCGCAACCCCUGGUAACCCCUCGAGGUGGCCCUGGCCUAAGGUCAUGUGACUUCAGGUGAGGGUUGCUAGUGUCAAAUUUUGCAUGUCGGCGGUUUGAGCCAUUUGCCCACAAUGUCAUAUGAGCCUCCAAGCAAGGGCAUUUAUGAAAUUAUGAAAGUUUAGCGAGGGUAAAGUUGAAAAAAAAUAUUAACAUUCCAAAAAUGUUAAAACUCAAAACUUCUCCGGUCUUGUCUGAGAGGACUUUGGAAAUAUAAUGCAAAAGCUUUCUAAAAAAUAUUGUGAAAUGCCUCGACAUUUGCAUAAGGACUUAUAGAGGUAAUGUUGUUCCCAAAUGCAGCAUAAGAAUCAAAAGAUAAAGAUGCAAUAAUUUAAUAUAUGCAUGGCCUAUAUGGCACACCUAGGACAUGAACGACUAGACAGGAAUUAUCUAAUUAACGCAUUCUUAUUGCCAUAUUGCAAACGUAUCUAAUAUGUAACUUAAUUUAAUCGAGUGCCGAACAUCUAGAGUGCCGAACAUCAGAGCAAAAACUUGGCAUGGAAUGACAUUUAAAUGCCAAAAGUUAGAAAAGUGACAAAAGUUAGGAAAGUGACACUUAAGUGCCAAAAUCGGAGCAAAAUGGAUCACUUAAAUGCCAAUCUGGUCAAAAUCCGACCAAAAUGCUGAUGUGGCGAUUUUCCGGUGAAAUAAGUGCAAAACGGCGUCGUUUUGCAGGCUAACGUGGCUAGAAAAUGGAAAAACGACGUCAUUUUGUCUUUGACGUGGUAAAUAAUUAAUAUGAAAAUUAAAUUUAUUUAAAAAAAAAAAGGUGGGGAGGAAGGGAGGCGAUUGAGGGCGGAGCUCUUGCUGCUGCCGGGAAGGGCCAACGACGAAGGGGAGAGGGUUGGCCGGGGUUGCCAACCCCUUGCCAACUGGCAGGGAGGGCUCGCGAGCCCUCGCUGGAUCUGGGCGAGAGCUUGUGGGCCCUUGCCGCCUCCUUGCCGUCGCUGGGAAUGACCGGCGACGGUGGGGGGAGCGUCAGCUGGGGUCAUCGAGCCCUAGCUAGGGGCCGACAUCGCGGCGAGGGCCCGCAAGCCCUCGCCCAGAUCUGGGGUGAUGGUCGUGACCCUUGCCUAGUCGGGCCAAAGGCCACUACCUGCUGGGGGGUCACCUCAGCGAGCAACGGCCCUUGGCUUGGCCAGGCAAGGGCCGCCAACCCUCGCCAAAUCUUGGCGAGGGCUCGCGGGCCCUCGUCGCUAGUCGGCCAAGGGUCGGCAACCUUGGCUGACCCUCCCCUCUCCGUCGCCGGCCCUUCCGACAACAGCGGCGGGGUCUCAACUCUCAGCUGCCUCCUUUCCCCCCUCAUUUUUUAUUUUUAUUUUUUUAAUAUUUGUAUUUGUAUUUUUAAAUGUUUUAAAUAAAUUAGUUUUUAAUUUAAUUUUAUUAAUUUUUUACCACGUCAAUACCAAAACGACGUCGUUCUUGCAUUAUCUAGCCAUGUCAGCAUGCAAAACGACGCCGUUUUGCACUUAUUUUGCCAGAAAAUAGCCACGUCAGCAUUUUGGCCGAAUUAGCACUUAAGUGAUCCAUUUUAUUCCGAUUUUGACACUUAAGUGUUCCUCUGUGCCAAGUUUGACACUUUUGGUGUAUUUCUCCCUAAUUUAAUAUGUUUGGAUUUUCUACAUUUAAUUAACAUGAUAAAUUCGAAAUUACCUCCUUAAACAACUACAUGGCCGAAACCUACAUGUGCAUUAAGAUGAACAUAACUUAAAUUGUUUAAUGAUAUGCAUGACUUAAUAUUACCAAAUGAUAUGCGUAAAUGUGGGCUAAUGAAUGAUAGGAAUCAACGAAUAAAACAAAUUAAUGCCGCAGUCACCUAAAUGAGACAUCAAACUAUUUUUCUAUUUUCUUGAUUAAGACCAUGAGUAUGCAUGCAGCAACUAAACAAAUAUUAAUGAUAAGAUUAAUUCAAUUAAAAGAUAAAUGAAUAGCCUAAUAUAAACUCCUAAAUGCUGAAUGAUGUGUAUACUAAACUAUAUAAAAAUAAACAUGAAGUAAUGCACUCGUGCAAAGACUAGUUAAAUGAAGCCUAGACGCAAUGUGUCGUGGGCGAAAUUCUUCAAAUAAAAUAACAUGUGUAUUCUAAACUAUCAUGCGUAACCUAAAUCACUAUCCAACAUGCAUAAUGAAUAUUAUUCUAUAUGAGAUAAGACUAGACAAUAAACCCUAGAUGCAGCUUAUAUGAAAUAAUAAUAAAAAUUAAUCCCUAAAGACUAUAACAUGGUCAUGAUUUUUCUAUAUCACAUGACAUGCGUGAUAUGACUUAAACUAACAAGUAUCCAACUAAUAUUACCUCCAAUAUUAAAGAAUUGCAAGGACAUGUUACUCUUUAAGUGAUGUGUACUGUACAACAUGAAUAUCGACAUUCUCAUAAUGCAAUCUAUAUGGAAUGCUAAUUUAAUUUUUUUGUAUUUUUCUUUAUCAGUGAGUUUAAGAAAACUGAUAUUAUACCCUAGGAAAACUACAUGUAACCGAAAUACAUUUAUCAAUUUGUAAACAUGCAAAACAUUUUCAGAUGUGUCAAUAUAAAUUAAAGCCCAUCAAGAUUAGUCAAGAAUAUCCAUAAUUAUUAUUCAAGAUGAUUCAAGAUUAUUAAAGAAACAUGCAAGGCAAUCAAGAAUCAUCAAGGAUCAUGCAUGUUUUUUUAAUAGUGCCCUUGACAUUGUUUCGCCAGUUUUAGAUCCCGCACUGAAAUAACUUUCAUCAAGCAUUAUAUUUUGAUUUUUAUUAAAGGAGACUCAGGUUCUAUGUUAACUUUGAACAGAAAAGGUUCAAAUGCGAAUGAGACUAUAUCUAUUAUAUAAUUUCGAAUCUAAAGAAGUUGUUUAAUAUACUUAACACACUUAACAUGAGCUUAAUAUCAACGACAAUUAAUGUCGAAAUCUAAUCAAUAGUACCAUCUACACUCACUUUAACAUAAUAAUGCAAGCCCAUUAAAAUUAAAGUGGUUUAUACAAUAUCAAAGACGAUUCGACAAUGUUGGAUAUUUACAAAAGCGUUCGAAAAGCACCGCUUUCUAAUAAGUUCGAGGACACAACGUUAGAACCAAAUUGACGACGCUAGACAAUGAAGAGACACUGCUUCUAGAUGGAUAUGAGGACAUAAUGUCAGAAUCUAAUCGAAGACUUUGGAUAGUGGUAAUAACACUUAACAAACACCGCUUCUAGGUGAGUAUGAGGACACAACGUUGAAAUCUAAUUGAUGACGUUGGAUAGUGAAGAUAGCACCUAGUAAACAUUGUUUUUAGAUGAGUAUGUAGACACAACGUCAAAAUUUAAUCGACGACGCUGAACAAUGAGUUAAUACUGGAAUCUAAUCAAUAGUAUAGACACACGUCGGAAUUGAAUCUACGACAGGAAUCUUAAGCUACAGCUAAGCUAAACUAAGCAAAAGUAAAAGGUAAGAUAAAGUAGUUUUGUAUGUUGUUUGAUGGGCUCUUUGUUGGAUUACAUGUGGUAUUUAUAGGCCAAUUUAGUAACCAUUAGUGGUCAGUUACUCCCUCCUCAAGAGUUACUCCACGUUCUCUAUUGAACCAUCUUAUCCACAUUUGGUUUUUGACUUGUUCGACAAUAUUCUCAUGGCUUGUCUAAUAAGGAUUAAUAACUCCUCUUGAGUUUGGCACACUUCUAAUCGUUCCUGCCUAAAUUCACUGUGAAUGUUAUGUCUCCAAUAGCAUCUCUUGACUUUGACACAUGGCAACUAGUUGCUUCAUCAUAAAAUUAUGUAUCUUUGUUUGUAUGUUCAUCAAAUUUAGCCAAGGAUUCUCGAAAUCCUUGGCUAUCCUUUAUUUUUAUAACCACUAUGGGUUAGGCCAAUGUAAAUUACAGCCCACAUGCGGUAACAAGUGUGAUUUUAGAGUUUCUGCCUCUCACAACCAACACACGUUUGCAAAAAUAUUUUUGGGUGUCAACAAACAUUGUACUUGCAUAGAAUAAAAACUCUUGAUAUUAAAUGCGAUAUAUGAACCAUUAUGAUUGAGAGUUUGGCUCAAAGAUCCAAUUCUCCAAUAUAAUAUGCAAUGUAUAAUGCAAAGGGAACCUAAGGGAUUGUGACGACUAUAUAUUAAACAUGGAAUGGCAUAAAAUUGAAACAUUAUGCAUUGUUCAAUCACAUAGUACCAAUUCUAUCCUUACCAACCAUACCUUGAUUAGAACUCCAAAGACACCGAGUGAGAUCAUGGCAACAAGAGGCGGCCGCCAAAGAUGUUGGGAAAAUCCCAUAUGAUGAUUUGAAGAAGACAAAAUAUUCAAUGACUACUAAUGCAUGUAUUGUUUGAGUAAGACUAGGUGAGAGAUGCACAAAUCAAAAUGCAAAUGGUGUCCUGAUAGGAUUGUCUAAAAAUUAAGAGUUCUUUAUUAAGGGUGAAGAAGGCAUUGAGCGGGUGUAGAGGUGUGUACAAGCUAUGGGUAUCUAAGUAUAAGGUGAACAAGCCUAGAUGGUGAGUUCAAUAAAGCUUGGAGAUACCAUGAAUAAGUGAAUAGCUUGGUAGAGCCAUGAUUGUCAAUAUGCUUAGAUGGAUCGGAAGAUAGAAGCUCGAGUGAAGUUGAUAUCCUUUCCUAAUGUCAAAGGUACCCCAAGUAUAAAGUGAAAGAUUAAUGAUAAUUGGACGAACCUUUAUGGAGGUGAGGAGGUGAACAAGUCAUGAAGGACAUGAAGGUAAUGGAGAAUUGGAAAUACCAAACAAGGUAAACAAUUUAUUUAGUCUUGUUACACUGAGAUAGUGAGUAAGACCCAUGGAUGAUGGUUCGUAAGUUGAAUAGAAGCAAAUAGCUUAAAUAUACUCACAGAUUGUCGAUAUAAUUAGCCGACUAUACUAAUGGAACAUGCUUAUAAUUUAUUUAUUAUUUGGAUAAGAGACCCAAAAAUUUCUUUGACUAAUAUUAUGUGUCAAAAGGGAUUUAACAGCUAUCUUCAGGGAUUGAAAUUAUGAAAAGAAGAUUAGAGAUAAAUCAAUUGGUUUAUUACCAAAUUCAAAGGAAUUAAUUAUUACCAAGGCCAAAUCAAUUUAGGAAGACCUCCCAAUUACCUAAAGAUUUGAUUGUAUGGGCGACCAAAUCUCCGGUGAUUGUGUCCAUCAAUUCUAACGGCCAAUUGAUCCUCUUUAAGAUCCUCCAACGGCUAGUUUAAAGAUUGAAAACUACAUAAGAAAAUCAAUACAUGUUGCAGGACAUAAGGGGGAAGAGCGAGAAAGUUACAAACAUUGAUAUAGUCACAUUCUAUUUGAUUACUACAAUCGUGCUUAUAUCCAAGUUAUGUUAUACUCUUUAGAGAGUUGUUCCUAAUUGUAAUACGUGACUUGAGCAUUGUACAACUAUGUUAGCAGUGCUUGAUCAAUGUUACAACUUUAAGUAGAAACAACACACAUUAUGUUGUAACUACUCAAGAGAUAAUUAUUGGAUUCUAACCUCAUUAGUAGUUGUUAAUCUGGGAGAGUGUGCAUAGGCUUAAUCUAAGUCGAAUUACUGUAAAUCUACAUGCAUUAUCCCUCUGCCUUUUAAUUUAACUAUUUCAUAGAAGCACCACCCUAAAUAUUAGCAGCUCAUUCUAGCAUAUAUCAAACUAAAGGUCAUCUAUUCAAAUGUCACAAAUUGCAUGUAAAUCACUUUGAGUCAAGGUCACAUGUUCAUAGGCCAAAUACCCAACGGUAUCCCAACCUUUAACUUCAGCCUUAAUUAUGCCAUAAUUUAAUUUUUUUUGUCUAAUAAAAUAUUCAAACUUUAGGUCAAGUCCUAAAUUUACUAUAAAGAUUUUUUUCUCUUAUAAAAAAUUCUCAACAUUAGAUCCGGUCCCAAUACUACCAUAAACUUCUUCUUUUUUCCAUAGUAAACCACCAAUUUUUACUAGACUCCCAUCACAUUAACCAUUCAUCCAAUAUCGCCCUUAUUGGUAUGUCAUUGCUAUAGUUUUUCCCUACAUUUCAAAUCCCAAAAGGCGUCUUUUGGAGAUGAAUUUCCACAUCGCCCAAAUGGUAUCAUCUUGGAUCUAAAAUUUGGAUAAAAUUAGACCAAUUAGAGUUGGCUUCCUUUAAUUACUCUUACUUUUAAGAAAGUUUUCCUUCCAUCUUGUCUAGGAAUGUUUGAUUUUGCGCUCAAUCUUCAAUCUCUUGUGCUCGGGAGUCUUCCAUCUCGUGUGAUUGGAGAGCUCGCGCUUGGGACACUCCACUUAGGAUGCUCGAACAGCUCGUGCUCAAGAGUUUCUUAUCUCUCAGUUGUCAACAAGAAACUUUUAAUGAAGGAAGAUUUAGUAAAAGUUGGUAAAAUUGAGAUUGGACAUAAAGUUGAGAAUUUUUUAUGAUAUUAGUCCAUUCUAGCUACAUAUCAGAAGUAAGUGUUUGCGCUCGUACCUUGAAUUACAGAUAAAAAAUGAAACAAUGACCCCGAUCGAGCAUUUUGCAACGAAUGUGAGAAUCACAAAUAAGAUCUUUACGGUGCUGAGUCGGGGCUCGUCAUCAUUGCCCCGCCCCUUGUCUAAUGUAAGAAUCUCAUCCUCGCAUAACGUAAGAUCGCUAUGGUCCCGGGAUUUCUAUGUAGUGGAUUCACAUGAAACGCUUGCGUGCUAAGGUCGGUCCCUGUCCAGAGAGAUAGGAAGUUCAAAAAGAUGACAUGUCGAUUUUGUCAUUUUCCCUUUACUAAAGUGCAGCGCAUUUGGUCAACUUUCUUUCGGCAUCGCAGUGCUCUGGAAGGGUUACCAAUCUUUUCAGCUCUUGCGCACGCAACGCGCCAUCCGCUUGCGCAAUGCGUGCGCACCGCACCAUGGGCCUAAAUUUAACCCGAAUUCCACCGGGCACGUGUAUGGUUUGAUUUAUCCGGACAACUGAUGCCAAUGCCUGGAUCACAUGACCCAAGCCGAAUCUGCUGCAUUCAGGCAACCCCUGUCGGUCAUCACCCGGGAUCCCUCGAUGAGCCGAUGAUGGGGUCGCGUGGAGCUAGCAAUCAACAACAACAGCCAGGCGACCUCAAUGAUCGGCAGCCGUGAUCAAGCAAUUAUAAUUAUCACCUAUAUGGGUCUUACAAUCCUUAUUAGGUGUCGUAGAGAGCACCGUUGCGGUGCAAUUUCGCCAAGUGCAUUGUAAAGACUAUUCUGCAACCGAUAUUGCUGCGGAAAACCCGCACAGAAUUUUCUUUAGGCGACACGAUGACGAUGCCUGCCAUAAGGCAGUGCUACUCAAGGUCCAAUCGGAUGCAUUACUCAAGGUCCAGAGGCAGAGAAAAAGGAAAGUCGGGCCAUCAUAAGCCCAGAACUUAUCACUAAAUCUUCGUUGAUGAAGCUGAACCAUACACGUUUUGCCUAAUGAUACGGCAUCGAACUGACGUUUCAUGUACUCAAAGCUUUCAAGUCGCAAAAAAACAGGGGAAACGCUACUUUUAUACUAUUAAUAUAUACCAACCAAACAGGUACUUGAAAUCAAGCUAGGCUUAGAAAAAACAGAUCUGUCUCCGGCAUUGAAUAAAUAAAACCAUUUCCCCCUAUGCCAUAAUCCACUAAAUAGUCUUGGGUGGUAGAUGCCACCUCAAUGUACCCACGAUUAUUCCGUCCAAUAGCAUAUAGUAUGUACAAAGAAUCCACCCCGAGAAGUAGAAUGUAUCCAAACAACAUCUGUGCAGGUGGUAGGAUUGCCGACCUACUUCAUCAAAACUUUUCCUCGACUCCAUGCCCCAUCUGUGACUCUGAGUACUGAAGAGAUGAACUAGAAUGGCAUGAAGCAUAGGUACUUCUUCCGCAGCUUCUUGAAUGCUCCAUCAGUCUUCCUUC